UGCUGGGUGGCGUUGCUUGCAAGGAUGGCUCUGGAGAAGUGGCUCAGACUUUGACGCAGGCAGGACAGAGAGGAGAGGCUGGGAAGCGAAUACUGGUGCAAGAAGAUACUUCAAUUCUCAACCUGGUAAAGUACUGCAGAGUCUGUUCCACUGGGAAAAAAUGCAGACAGGCAUUGCUUUAAAGCCUUGAUCCAGAUGAAAGUGAUAGAGACCUU